rnacentral:rRNA from 1 species
UUGACCUCAAAUCAGGUAGGACUACCCGCUGAACUUAAGCAUAUCAAUAAGCGGAGGAAAAGAAACUAACAAGGAUUCCCCUAGUAACUGCGAGUGAAGCGGGAUGAGCUCAAAUUUUGAAUCUGGCGGUCUUUGGCCGUCCGAGUGUAAUCUAGAGAAGCGU